rnacentral:rRNA from 1 species
CAGCAGCCGCGGGAAUACAGAGGGUGCUAGCGUUAAUCGGAUUUACUGGGCGUAAAGCGUGCGUAGGCGGCUAAUUGAGUCGGAUGUGAAAUCCCCGAGCUUAACUUGGGAAUUGCAUUCGAUACUGGUUAGCUAGAGUGUGGGAGAGGAUGGUAGAAUUCCAGGUGUAGCGGUGAAAUGCGUAGAGAUCUGGAGGAAUACCGAUGGCGAAGGCAGCCAUCUGGCCUAACACUGACGCUGAGGUACGAAAGCAUGGGGAGCAAACAGGAUUAGAUACCCCCGUAGUCCCUGUCUCUUAUAC